AGCGGCGGAUGGGUGAGUAACACGUGGGGAACCUGCCCCUAAGUCUGGGAUACCAUUUGGAAACAGGUGCUAAUACCGGAUAAUAAAGCAGAUCGCAUGAUCAGCUUUUGAAAGGCGGCGUAAGCUGUCGCUAAGGGAUGGCCCCGCGGUGCAUUAGCUAGUUGGUAAGGUAACGGCUUACCAAGGCGACGAUGCAUAGCCGAGUUGAGAGACUGAUCGGCCACAUUGGGACUGAGACACGGCCCAAACUCCUACGGGAGGCAGCAGUAGGGAAUCUUCCACAAUGGACGCAAGUCUGUUGGAGCAACGCCGCGUGAGUGAAGAAGGUUUUCGGAUCGUAAAGCUCUGUUGUUGGUGAAGAAGGAUAGAGGUAGUAACUGGCCUUUAUUUGACGGUAAUCAACCAGAAAGUCACGGCUAACUACGUGCCAGCAGCCGCGGUAAUACGUAGGUGGCAAGCGUUGUCCGGAUUUAUUGGGCGUAAAGCGAGCGCAGGCGGAAAAAUAAGUCUAAUGUGAAAGCCCUCGGCUUAACCGAGGAACUGCAUCGGAAACUGUUUUUCUUGAGUGCAGAAGAGGAGAGUGGAACUCCAUGUGUAGCGGUGGAAUGCGUAGAUAUAUGGAAGAACACCAGUGGCGAAGGCGGCUCUCUGGUCUGCAACUGACGCUGAGGCUCGAAAGCAUGGGUAGCGAACAGGAUUAGAUACCCUGGUAGUCCAUGCCGUAAACGAUGAGUGCUAAGUGU
rnacentral:rRNA from 1 species